rnacentral:rRNA from 1 species
CAGUAGCCGCGGUAAUACGUAGGUGGCGAGCGUUGUCCGGAAUUAUUGGGCGUAAAGGGAGCGCAGGCGGACAUAUAAGUCCAUCUUAAAAGUGCGGGGCUCAACCCCGUGAGGGGAUGGAAACUGUAUGCCUUGAGUGCAGGAGAGGAAAGCGGAAUUCCCAGUGUAGCGGUGAAAUGCGUAGAUAUUGGGAGGAACACCAGUGGCGAAGGCGGCUUUCUGGACUGUAACUGACGCUGAGGCUCGAAAGCCAGGGGAGCGAACGGGAUUAGAUACCCCUGUAGUCCCUGUCUCUUAUACA